GACGAACGCUGGCGGCGUUCUUAACACAUGCAAGUCGAACGGAAAGGCCCUGCUUUUGUGGGGUGCUCGAGUGGCGAACGGGUGAUUAACACGUGAGUAACCUGCCCUUGACUUUGGGAUAACUUCAGGAAACUGGGGCUAAUACCGGAUAGGAGCUCCUGCUGCAUGGUGGGGGUUGGAAAGUUUCGGCGGUUGGGGAUGGACUCGCGGCUUAUCAGCUUGUUGGUGGGGUAUUGGCUUACCAAGGCUUUGACGGGUAGCCGGCCUGAGAGGGUGACAGACCACAUUGGGACUGAGAUACGGCCCAGACUCCUACGGGAGGCAGCAGUGGGGAAUAUUGCACAAUGGGCGGAAGGCUGAUGCAGCAACGCCGCGUGCGGGAUGACGGCCGUCGGGGUGUAAACCGCUUUCGCCUGUGACGAAGCGUGAGUGAAGGGAAUGGGUAAAGAAGCACAGGCUAACUAAGUG
rnacentral:rRNA from 1 species